UACGGGGGGGGCAAGCGUUGUUCGGAAUCACUGGGCGUAAAGGGUGCGUAGGCGGCGGGGAAAGUCAGAUGUGAAAUCCGGAGGCUCAACCUCCGAAAUGCGUCCGAUACUCCCUCGCUAGAGAUUUGUAGAGGAGUCUGGAAUUCUCGGUGUAGCAGUGAAAUGCGUAGAUAUCGAGAAGAACGCUCGCAGCGAAGGCGAGACUCUGGGCAAAUUCUGACGCUGAUGCACGAAGGCUAGGGGAGCAAACGGG
rnacentral:rRNA from 1 species